rnacentral:rRNA from 1 species
ACCUGCCCAUUGGAAUCUAAAAGGCCGCGGUAUUAUGACCGUGCUAAGGUAGCAUAAUCAUUAGUCUUUUAAUUGAAGGCUGGUAUGAAUGGUUGGACAAGAAAUAAGCUGUCUUAAAUAAAAAUAUUGAAUUUAACUUUUAAGUGAAAAGGCUUAAAUUUUCUAAGGGGACGAUAAGACCCUAUAAAACUUUAUAUUUUAAAAUAAUAAUUAAUUUUAUAUAGAGGAUUUAUUUUUAAAUAUUUUAUUGGGGUGAUAAAGAUAAAAUGUAAGAUAACUGUCUUUUUUUUUUUUACAAGUGAUAUUUGAGUAAAAGAUCUUAAAAAAGGAAAUAAGAGAUUAAGUUACUUUAGGGAUAACAGCGUAAUUUUCUUUAAGAGUUCUUAUCGACAAGAAAGUUUGCGACCUCGAUGUUGAAUUAAAAGUUCUUUAUAGAGUAGAUAUUAUAAUAGAGGGUCUGUUCGACCCUUAAAAUUUUACGUG